rnacentral:rRNA from 1 species
AUUGAGUUUGAUCCUGGCUCAGGACGAACGCUGGCGGCGUGCUUAACACAUGCAAGUCGAACGGUGAUCUUGAGAGCUUGCUCUUGGGUGAUCAGUGGCGAACGGGUGAGUAACACGUGAGUAACCUGCCCCUGACUCUGGAAUAACUUCGGGAAACCGAAGCUAAUACCGGAUAUGACACAGAGCCGCAUGGUUUCUGUGUGGAAAGUUUUUCGGUUGGGGAUGGACUCGCGGCCUAUCAGCUUGUUGGUGAGGUAAUGGCUCACCAAGGCGACGACGGGUAGCCGGCCUGAGAGGGCGACCGGCCACACUGGGACUGAGACACGGCCCAGACUCCUACGGGAGGCAGCAGUGGGGAAUAUUGCACAAUGGGCGAAAGCCUGAUGCAGCGACGCCGCGUGAGGGAUGAAGGCCUUCGGGUUGUAAACCUCUUUCAGUAGGGAAGAAGCGAAAGUGACGGUACCUACAGAAGAAGCACCGGCUAACUACGUGCCAGCAGCCGCGGUAAAAU